rnacentral:rRNA from 1 species
GCACUCCCGGGGCGUCUCUUUCUCAUUGCGAGAGGAGGCGCACCCAGAGCGCACACGCUGAUACCCGAAAGAUGGUGAACUAUGCCUGGCCAGGACGAAGCCAGGGGAAACCCUGGUGGAGGUCCGCAGCGAUUCUGACGUGCAAAUCGAUCGUCGGAGCUGGGUUUAGGGGCGAAAGACCAAUCGAACCAUCUAGUAGCUGGUUCCCUCUGAAGUUUCCCUCAGGAUAGCUUGCGCUCAGAGGAACGAGUCUCAUCCGGUAGAGCGAAUGAUUAGAGGCCUUGGGGUCGAAACGACCUCAACCUAUUCUCAAACUCCAAAUAGAUGAGAACCCCGGCUUUCUUGAAUUAUGAAGCCGGGGGCUUGGAUCAGAGUGCCAAGUGGGCCAAUUUUGGUAAGCAGAACUGGCGCUGUGGGAUGAACCAAACGCUGAGUUAAGGCGCCUCAAUCGACGCUCAUCUGAAACCAUGAAAGGUGUUGGUUGCUUAAGACAGUAG